AAUGAGUUCACCAUUUUUAUUUUCCCUUAUCAUGUUUCUACCACCUGCUUUCUAUAAUCAGAGUCUUGGAAAACAUGGAGAGGGCACUCUAUUAAAGAGCACUUUAUACAAAUAUUAGAUGUGGGUUUUUAUUUGUUUGUUCUAUUCAUCUUGUGGCAGUAAAUUCAUGCACAGUCUCCAUGAAUCUGAUGCACAAAAAGCCAGAUCAUCCUAGUCAUACAAAAAUCCAGCAGCCAAAUGUUCCAAAAUCAACUUGUCCCACAUGAUACCUAUUUUUAGUGGUGUUUGAAGCUUCCUAUUAGAAGCCUCAAUGUAAGGGUAUGAACAAAAGCAUGUGUUCAAAGAAUUUGGUGCAGUCAAACAUGGAAACUAAAGAAGGUAAAGCCAACUCAUGUUGACAUUGACUUGGAAAAAAGAAUAUUUGGUGGUUGGUUUUCAAACCAACAGAGUUAGAUGGCAAUUCAAUGUACUAGCAGCCAAUAAAAACAUUGAUUCACCUAACUUUU